rnacentral:rRNA from 1 species
UACGGAGGAUCCAAGCGUUAUCCGGAAUCAUUGGGUUUAAAGGGUCCGUAGGCGGUUUUAUAAGUCAGUGGUGAAAUCUGGUCGCUCAACGAUCAAACGGCCAUUGAUACUGUAGAACUUGAAUUACUUGGAAGUAACUAGAAUAUGUAGUGUAGCGGUGAAAUGCUUAGAGAUUACAUGGAAUACCAAUUGCGAAGGCAGGUUACUACAAGUAUAUUGACGCUGAUGGACGAAAGCGUGGGGAGCGAACAGG